GACGGGGGGGGCAAGUGUUCUUCGGAAUGACUGGGCGUAAAGGGCACAUAGGCGGUGAAUCGGGUUGAAAGUGAAAGUCGCCAAAAAGUGGCGGAAUGCUCUCGAAACCAAUUCACUUGAGUGAGACAGAGGAGAGUGGAAUUUCGUGUGUAGGGGUGAAAUCCGUAAAUAUACGAAGGAACGCCAAAAGCGAAGGCAGCUCUCUGGGUCCCUACCGACGCUGGGGUGCGAAAGCAUGGGGAGCGAACAGG
rnacentral:rRNA from 1 species